rnacentral:miRNA from 1 species
CCUUGUGAUGGUUUAUUCACGAGCUCCUUUCCCCACGGCCAGCUCAUCAGCCUUGCUGCCUGAGCGGGUGGGGAGGGAGGGAGGGCCCGA